AAGCGGAGGAAACGCGUUUAGGCAGCACUGCUUGUCGACAAAAUAUUCAUUUGUUUACCUUCAUGCAUAUGCACUGGAGCUCCUGGGGCUUGUGGCCGGUACGGUGGCCCCAGGUGACUUCGCAAAACACAGCCAGGAGUCGAAAGGACUACUCGCGGAUGUUAGCAGUCUACGGUCGGCGUUCCCGAAAGGCAUGCCCCAAAACUAAAAAAGUCCAAGAACUCUGAAGAAACCGUGUGCUUUCACAAAGGGUAUUCUCGCUCCUCUUCAGUUUGCGGCUUUGCCUUGCGUGGUAAGCGGGCUUUCUUUUUGGCGUGCCCAGCGCAGCUUUUCCGGUGUCUUCUUCCACUCGUCUUCCCAGCCGUUUACAAAGAUACACUUGAAUAUGAUGUCCCCCCUUCAGUUGUCUCAGAGUGUCUCUGCGACUCAAUAUCGGAUGCAAGCACUUGAAUUUCGUGAAUGCGUGACUCUUCUUUCCUCUCAGCAACACGGACCCCAGCGCAGGAGUGUGCGUUUUCCCGAUGAUGGCACACGCACGUGACGCGAGAGAGUCACCAAGAAACACCCGCCCGUGCAAUUUUGGCUGGUGUCUAAUCCCACCGGUCCCUUUUCUUUGUUCACUUGAACUAAGCAGCUUUGGGCAUCCCUGCGAUUGCUUUUGAUGCACGAUUUUGAAGCCGAUGUGCCUCGCGCUUGCUCCCCGGCCGAGUAGGG
rnacentral:lncRNA from 1 species